rnacentral:lncRNA from 1 species
UCUUGCUCCGGAUCGGCCGAGGCCGGAGCCUCGUGGGAGCCGCGCCCGGAGCCAGCCCGGCCAUGGGGGCGCGUCCCCGGCGUGCGCCGGCAGCCCCGAGCCUCUGCCGGGGCCAGGCGGGCACUGUGGAGGCAGAGGUGGGGAGCUGAGCCUUAGGGAGACCUGAAGAUAAGGCUGCAGCUGACAGUAAAACAGUGUGUGAUGUGGGCAGUUCUCUGGUGUGCUCCACUAUGCCUGAAUCUCUAACAAAUAAUGGGCACUGUGAAGGCAGUAGUGGGGGGCUGAGCCUUGGGGAGACCUAAGUUAAGGCUUCAGCUGACAGUGAGGAGGUGUGGAUGAGGACAUUGCUGGUUUGCUCCACCAUGUGUGCACUGUUGUCAGGGGAGAAUGGUUGAGAUUUAUAAAAAGUUGUGCUGGGCCCUGCUGGAGUUGCAGUGUUCUGCUUAAGAAGAUGGAUGGCUCUGCUGCUCGGGAUCCUCGUUCAAGCCACAGCAUUCCCAUACCCUGCCAUAGCUCUGACCUCUCAAAACUGUCAGGAGUAAUGAAUUUGUGUCCUGCCAACUUAGAUGGAGGGUGCUUUAUUUUCUGUCCCCUGGGUACAAAGGCAUGUCACUGGAAUGGCUUCUGGAACUUGCUUUGCUGCAUGUUUAAUGCAGUUGGAUGCUUUUUUCUGCAGGGGCUGCAUUCCCUGCCUGGCAGCUGAUGUUGUCCUGCCAUAGUCAUAAAAGGCAAGGAAGCCUCUCCUCAGAGCAGCUGUCAGGUGUGGGAGGAUGGCAGUCAGGUCUUGGUUCUCCCCUGCCAUCCAGAAAGUUCCAGUGGGGUAUCCCUGGCAGCCUGUGAAGUGGGCAAGGGCUGUCUGGCUGCUGCAGCAGUGUGUUUCUGUACUAUUGGAAGCCUGGUUUUAAUAAAUCCUUGAGUAAUGGGUGAGUUUGGCUGGUGACUGAAGUUCUUGAGCCAUGUUUAACAGCUGAUUCUGGAUCUCCCAGCGGUGUGGGAGUUGGAGUGCACAGCACCAGUGUGCUGCUGUGAGUGCUGCUGGAGCUGCCUCAAGGUGUGCCGGGGCAGCAGCUCCACAUACCCUGGAGCAGAAGUGCUUGGCUGCUGUGCUGCAGGAGAGGUGCAGUCUGUGCUCAGCUUCUGACUAAUUAAUUGCUUUCAGUUGUUCUGGGAUGGGACUUCAGGUGCCUGAGCUGACAGUGGCCUUUGGCAUGUAUGCUUAGGAAACAACAAUGAUGGAAAAUCACCUACUAUUCAACAUUAAAGGCAGUCUUCAAUUACAUUGAGUAGAGAUUUUUCUUAUUCAAUUAAUGUAAGCAGCCUGAUCUCUUAAAACUGCUUACUGGUGAGGGACCAGAACUGCUGCUAAUACAAUUAGUUUCAUUAAUGUAAUGAACAGACCUACCAGCAAACAUUGUGUAGGGAGGAUAGAGUGCUUGUCCAGUGGGAGCUGGAGGGACAGCUGUGGCUGAAACAUGUUCUUGGCAUGUUUUAUUACCCUCUGCAAGAGCAGUUGCUCAGGUUUCAAGUGCAGGGCCCCGCAGCAUGUAAUUCCACUUGCUGUGUAAUUUCCUCUCUGUUCAGCUCCUGCCUCUUACAAACCCCCAGGACUGCAGCUCUUCUCUUCUCUGCUUCAAUUUCUCAGCUGUCAAACCUCACCAUUCCUGGGCAGGGCUCAGCGCCCCUCAGGGAGAUGCUCUGGAUGCUCAUCCUGUCCUGCAUCUACGUGCAGCUCCUCCAGCCUCUCCACUGAUCUCAUUAAAGCUCUGGUUUCAGCAGUUGGGGAUUUGUCAUUUUUUUUGUUGUUGCUGCUGCUACUGCUGGUUUUCUGCAUCACCACUCAUUCUUAUAAUUAAAGUGACAGCUCUUGAACUAGUGUGUCAAAACAGCAUGAUUUAGUCAGAAAAGUACUGGGAAGAUAUCUCUAAUCAGACAACAGUGGUUCAUGUUUAACUAGGUAAAGGUAAACCCUGGAUGCUGCUGGCACCUGGAGAAGCUUCACCAAGGAGAGGGUGUUGGUAGCAGCUUGCACACCUGGGCCCCAGUGCUUGGGGUUUAUGAUGGAAACUGUUUAACACAAGAUUUGUGUCUGUGUCAGGGCUGCAGCUGGACAGCUCUGAACCUCUAGCAAAGCUUUUCAGACUGAUUUUCUAGAAGCUGUAAGGAAAUAAACCAAAAA